UUUUAUAUAGUUUAGAAAAAACACCACACUUUCACUGUGGAAACAGGGAACUCCCUUGUAAUAC
rnacentral:tRNA from 1 species